UGUGCAAUGUAAAGUCUCCAACCUGGAAUUAUCUAACUUUAGACUGGUUUUCUCUCUUCUUUUCAGAAAUGGAUAUCUUCCAUACACAAUACCAAGUUGGCUUAAAUAUAUGGAGGGCAAAGAAAACAUCAUUUGAAAUGGCAUGCUGAGCAUUGUGUCCAAGUGGGAAAAAGUUGGGAAAAGAGUAAGCAAUUGCCUUAUAUAAUCUGAUGUGGAAAGUAUUACACAGUAAAGAAGGCAAAAGAAAAGAAAACAACAAAUAGACUCAAUCUUGGAAAUUUGGGGAGUUGUCCAAUGAAAAAACAAAUCCUACACAGUAAGUUCCAUCUCUGAAUUUCAACAAAGUCGAAAGGAAUCUAGUAAUUGCUCUGUGAUAAGGAGAGCUCCACUGAAGGAUUUUCCUGAGGCUCAGAACACUGAAGGUCCAACAAACUCGAGAAAGUCCAUGGGCCUCGAAAGGCCACAGAAGCUGGAUGAGCUGGAGGCUAAUGUGUAGUGGUGAAAGGUCAGCCAUCUCUGGAAAAAGCCAAACAAUCCCUAUCAAUCUAUUCAGCAGCUGAGAAAGUAUUGGAACUGAGUGAGAUGAACUGGUAUAAAUGAGCUGGCAUUCUACCUGUGCUUCCGUUUUAUUAUUUCUAUUCUAUUUCUGGCUUUAUAUGUGCCACAAGUGACUAAAAUGAAGUCUGCCCAUAUUGUGCUAAAAAGUGGGAUGGGAACCCAAAUGAUACUUUGCAUGUCAGCCACUGUCUUUUAAGAAAGUCUUUAUCCCUCACUUCGGAAAGGGUAAAUAAGAAAACACCUUCCUGAUGAAAACUAUGAGAAUAUUGCAACAUCUUUAUGCCUCAUGUGUAUGAGAUACCAGUCUUAAGAGAUUCCUGUUUGCUAGCAACAUGAGAUUCCUGACUGAGUACUUUCUGCCAAACAUUUCUUGGACUAUCUUGUGUCAACCUUGCUGAGGUGGGCUGCAGAGUCAAGAAAAGUCUCAUAUUACAGGAAUUAAAGGGCAGUAGGCAAGAAGCAAAGUUGUAAGCGGUUCAAGGACACUUGCAGAAUUUUGGUACAAGGUAUUAUAUAGUAAGAUGGAUAACAAGAAACUUG
rnacentral:lncRNA from 11 species